GUCCACGUAGCUCAGCAGGAUAGAGCACAGGAUUCCUGGUUGUAAAUUGGGGGCUACACAACGAAAGGGUGUAGCCGAUCUGCUCAAAGUCGGGGAACGCUUCGCUGAGCUUCAGCAUGCCAAUCCCGAGCCAAGCUUCGGAGAAAUCCGUUGAAGGUGUAGAGACUGGAUGGGUAGCACCUAAAGGCCUUGGCCCAUGGUGAAGGGACAGUCCAGACCACGAACGCCCCCGGGCGGCGGCUAAAGCCGAAGUGGUAUGAAUCCUGGGGUCGGAGGUUCGAAUCCUCUCGUGGACACCA
rnacentral:tRNA from 1 species